GAUGAACGCUGGCGGCGUGCCUAAUACAUGCAAGUCGAGCGAACAGACGAGGAGCUUGCUCCUCUGACGUUAGCGGCGGACGGGUGAGUAACACGUGGAUAACCUACCUAUAAGACUGGGAUAACUUCGGGAAACCGGAGCUAAUACCGGAUAAUAUAUUGAACCGCAUGGUUCAAUAGUGAAAGACGGUUUUGCUGUCACUUAUAGAUGGAUCCGCGCCGCAUUAGCUAGUUGGUAAGGUAACAGCUUACCAAGGCAACGAUGCGUAGCCGACCUGAGAGGGUGAUCGGCCACACUGGAACUGAGACACGGUCCAGACUCCUACGGGAGGCAGCAGUAGGGAAUCUUCCGCAAUGGGCGAAAGCUUGACGGAGCAACGCCGCGUGAGUGAUGAAGGUCUUCGGAUCGUAAAACUCUGUUAUUAGGGAAGAACAAAUGUGUAAGUAACUAUGCACGCCUUGACGGUACCUAAUCAGAAAGCCACGGCUAACUACGUG
rnacentral:rRNA from 1 species